rnacentral:rRNA from 1 species
AUGGCGGCGAGGGCGGUGACCAUGCUGGCGCUCGUCGUCGCGGCGGCGGUCCUGGCCGGCGGCGCGUCGGCGCAGUCGCCCACGAGCGGGUGCACGCAGACGCUCAUCGGCAUGUCGCCGUGCCUCAACUACAUCACGGGCAACGAGACGGCGCCGUCCAAGUCGUGCUGCUCGCAGCUCGCCUCCGUGGUGAGCUCCAAGCCGGAGUGCCUCUGCGUCGCGCUCAACGCCGACCCCGCCGCGCUCGGGCUCGGCACCGUCAACAAGACCCGCGCCCUCGGCCUCCCCGACCAGUGCGGCGUCAAGACGCCCCCGCUCAGCAACUGCGCCACUGCCCCCACCACGUCGCCGUCGUCCGUCGCGCCGGCGGGACAGACGCCAACAUCCUCCGGAGCAGGGUCCAAGUCGACGCCGACGGCGGACGUGGGGAGCGGCGGCGCGUCGCUCCAGAGCUCGGCCGGCAUCGUCGCCGGCUUCAUCGUGGCCGCGGUCUACGCCGUGUCCACCAUGUGA